GAAAGGAACAACCAGCAAGCAAGAGUGGUUUGGGUGCUGCUGAGAACUCAGUAAGGAUAAAGACUGAAAAAUUUCAGAGCAAAGGCACAUAAGUAUCCUGCUACAGUGCUGCUAACUGAUAUGAUCAAAGUCAUAUAGGAAGAUGCCAAAUCAUUCAUCAAGAACCACAACCCCAAGUUACAGGGAAGAUAAAAUGAAACUGAAACCAGUGGUGGUUCCUGCUCGCCCAGUACAUAGAACAGAAUACUUCAGUGAAGUAUUGAUGUAAACUACUUUUGAAAACAAAGUAAAGUGACACAAGGUCUUCACACAGCCUUUCUGUACCUUUAAACUUGACUAUUUGGAGCCAUAGGAAUGAUGGAACAAUCUGUGAAAAUAGCAUUUUAAAUAAAAUGUAUUCAAGUCCAG
rnacentral:lncRNA from 1 species